GACGGAGGAUGCAAGUGUUAUCCGGAAUCACUGGGCGUAAAGCGUCUGUAGGUGGUCAAAUAAGUCAACUGUUAAAUCUUGAGGCUUAACCUCAAAAUCGCAGUCGAAACUAUUAGACUAGAGUAUAGUAGGGGUAAAGGGAAUUUCCAGUGGAGCGGUGAAAUGCGUAGAGAUUGGAAAGAACACCGAUGGCGAAGGCACUU
rnacentral:rRNA from 1 species